rnacentral:tRNA from 1 species
UCCUGAUGGCUCAGCUGGUAAAGAACCUGCCUGCAAGGCAGGAGACCUGGGUUCGAUCCCUAGGUUGGGAA